rnacentral:rRNA from 1 species
GAUGAACGCUGGCGGCGUGCCUAAUACAUGCAAGUCGAGCGAACAGACGAGGAGCUUGCUCCUCUGACGUUAGCGGCGGACGGGUGAGUAACACGUGGAUAACCUACCUAUAAGACUGGGAUAACUUCGGGAAACCGGAGCUAAUACCGGAUAAUAUAUUGAACCGCAUGGUUCAAUAGUGAAAGACGGUUUUGCUGUCACUUAUAGAUGGAUCCGCGCCGCAUUAGCUAGUUGGUAAGGUAACGGCCUACCAAGGCAACGAUGCGUAGCCGACCUGAGAGGGUGAUCGGCCACACUGGAACUGAGACACGGUCCAGACUCCUACGGGAGGCAGCAGUAGGGAAUCUUCCGCAAUGGGCGGAAGCUUGACGGAGCAACGCCGCGUGAGUGAUGAAGGUCUUCGGAUCGUAAAACUCUGUUAUUAGGGAAGAACAAAUGUGUAAGUAACUAUGCACGUCUUGACGGUACCUAAUCAGAAAGCCACGGCUAACUACGUG